rnacentral:tRNA from 1 species
UGCGGAAUGGUGUAACGGUAGCACGAAUGACUCUGACUCAUUUUGUCUGGGUUCGAAUCCUAGUUCCGCAGCCA